rnacentral:rRNA from 106 species
UGGUGACUAUAGCAAGGAGGUCACACCUGUUCCCAUGUCGAACACAGAAGUUAAGCUCCUUAGCGUCGAUGGUAGUCGAACUUACGUUCCGCUAGAGUAGAACGUUGCCAGGCA